UUCAUAUAACCACCUUUGCGUCACAAUUACGCUUACUUCUGAGUUGGAGAGAGAGAGAGAGAGAGAGAGAGAGAGAGAAAGAGAUGGCUCUCUCCCAUCUAGGGUUGGACGGAGAAUUUUUGAUGUGUCCCGAAGCAGGAGUUAAAGAGUUUUUCAAUCUGAGUACGCAGAAAAGGAUUCUUAUUUUGGUUGGUUGGUUGGUUUCAGAAACAAAGGGGAUUUUGAUUCGAACGUCAAAUAUUCAAGGUUCAUGGAGGGGUUCCUGUGGCUUCUAGAGUUCAUUUCCAAGUGCAAAACCUGGAUGCUCAAGUCCAGCGCAAUUUGGUGAUGCAAUCUUUUCAGUUGGAAAGGAUUUGGAGGUUGAUGGAGGAAAUUCAAAUCUGUUCACAGAUCCAAGUAAGCUUUCUCAGAUAUUUAAUUUCUAGUAUCAGGCUCUUUUUCUUGUCCUAUUCCCUGAGUAGGAUUCUUAACCUUUAUUUUGUUGUUUAGUUAACCUUUCUUUUUUUGUUUAGUUAUUUGCUUUCUGUGCUGAAAUUUGAUGUAUGUUAUAUAUUAUAUAUUUAUUCCUUGAAGAAAGUUUUGAACAGAAAAUCAAGGAAGAGCGAUAAAAGAGAAUCCAAGAGAGGCAUAAUGAGUUCUUAAAUGAGAUUUCUGUUCAAAAAUAGGCAUUGCCUCUUUUUUUUUUUUUUUUUUUUUUUUUUUUUUUUAAAUAAAUUUGCUUUUCACUUUUUAUUUUUCUUAUGCAUUUCUCCUUAAGCUAUUUGCUUUUAAGGAUGAGGUAUGUUGAUUUACUAAUUUCCUUGCUUCUAGCCUGUCGGGUAUUGCUUUAGUUUGUAACCAGCUGGAAACCAAAAACGAUAGGGCACCUGGAUAGACUCUAGUGGUUGUGCCAUCGUUAGUUUAACCUGGAUGGGAAUUAGAAGUAAAAAUUUGGCUACCUAUUGUACAUAAGGUUGUCUAUGCUUGGCUUCCAGUUUUUGAUUAAUGACAUGAACACCAGACAACUAUUUAUAUUUAUUCCUUCCUUUUAUCAUUUGAUGUUGGGGUUCCAGUUUUAAAUUAAUGACAUGAAUGCCGGACAACUACUUUAUUAUUCUUCGUCCUUCCAGUUUGUAACCUGAUGGACACCUGGAUGGACCCUUUCUAGUGGUUAUGCCAUCUUCAGUUUACCUGGAUGGGAAUGAGAAAUAAACAAGUACCUAGUGUACGUUUGGCUGUGUGAUUCCUCAUCUUGCAGGGAAAAAAAUUGUUCACCAGAUAUUGAAUGUGCUCCUGACAACAUAUGAGUAUCUGAUGAACAAGCAUGACAGACCAAAAGUAAGUAAAUUACACUGGCAUGAUAUCACAAUAUAUGAAUGACAAUUGAAUACAGAAUGCUUUUUCCAAGUUAAAUGCUGACUUAAAGCGUUAUAUCAUACUUUUUAAGUGUUUUGAGUUUGUCUUGAUACAUUGAAGCUUAUUUAUUAGCAAUUUAUAGCUCUUUGAAUGUAUGCAAGUUGAGGUUUUAAAAUUUAUAGUUCUUGUGAUGUAGCUGUAUGUUUCAGCAGAAAUUCUUUCACAACACUUAGCAAUUAUAAAGAACCAGUUGGAUAGAGGUAUGUUUAUCUUACAACUACAUACAUGUGCAUUCAUGUCCAUACUGCUCUCAAGUCUUAAUUGACAAGAAAAUGCAUUUGCUACCUAAAAAAUUUAUGGCAACAGGAUUUGGUGUUAACGUGCCCAUACACCAAAUUUCUCAAACAUGCUUCUGUUGCUAAAAUUUUAAUUCUGUAUAGGUUUCUAGAGAUGUUCAUUCCACGAAGAUGUUGUUAAUGUCACUAUUUGCAACUUUAACACUGGUAAGGCUAGUGGUAGCCUAAAUCGUGAUGUAUAAUUUUCAAAACAGAUUAAUAUCAAAAUGGUGUUCUUGAUCAUUUGUAGAUCUGUAUAAUAUUUGUUAAGGUUUUUAUUGCAUCUUGCUUGUUUAUUUAGUAUGUUUUUCUUUGCUUUGUCUCUUUUUUGUUUGUAUUCGAGGAUUCUCAUCCUCUCUUUUGUAAUUUUAUUUAUUUUUUUGUUUUUUAUAUGAUGAAGUAAAGUUUCCUAAUUUAAAAAAAAAAAAAAAAGAUUUUUCAAAUUACAUUACCUUAUACUUUUGACAAUAUUUUACUUGUGAAUGCUUAGAAUUAUAUUGUUGAGGUUUUUAUUCAAUAUAUUACUUGGUCUAUCAAUCUUAAGUUCUAACUUCAGUUGUUCUUUCAUUCUUGAAUUCUGUUCCUUUGUUGAAAAUGAAUUGCCCAGAAAAGAUUGGGAGACUUGUAGGAUUUUAAGGCUUCUCUUAUCAGAAGCUUUUGUUGAAGGAGGGUCGAAGAAAAUCAGGAUCAAUUGGAAUUUCGAACGUAACACUGCAUGUUAGUUGAAUUCUUAUACUGUGCUUUCUUUCUCUUGAAUAUUUACUAUUCCCAUAUAAUUACACAAUUUUAUAUGCUCAGACUAUGACCCAAAAAACAAAAGAAAUUUACAUGCUUGGUCAGGUCUACAACUUUUUAUGCUUGGACUAUGACCCAAAAAACAAAAGAAAUUUACAUGCUCGGUCAGGUACACAAUUUUAUAUGCUCGGACUAUGACUGAAAAAACAAAAGAAAUUUACAUGCUCUGUCAAUGCAUGACUCUGCUAUGGAGAGGCAUGCUUGGUCAAUGCAUGACUGUUACUUUGCAAUAAAUGCAUUCAUCCUUAUCUUAGCUUGCUUCAUAUGGAGAGGCAUGUUCUAUCAAUACAUUUGGUUUUUUUGCUCUUUUAAAAGGGCUGAGGGAAGGGAGAAGAAAAUGGUCUCUAUCUGUGGCAUGAGUUUUCAAGCUCUCUCGAGUGCCUUUCCCAUAUGUAACCUUUAAGUACACAAUUUUAUAUGCUCGGACUAUGACCCAAAAAACAAAAGAAAUUUACAUGCUCUGUCAGGUACACAAUUUUUCAUGCUCAGACUAUGACUGAAAACAAAAGAAAUUUACAUGCUCGGUCAGUGCAUGACUCUGUUAUGGAUUGGCAUGCUCAGUCAAUGCAUGACUCUGUUACUUUGCAAUAAAUGCAUUCAUCCUUAUCUCAGCCUGCUCCAUGUGGAGAGGCAUGUUCUAUCAAUACAUUUGGAAGGGAGAAGAAAAUGGGCUCUAUCUGUGGCAUGAGUUUUCAAGCUCUCUCUCCUGCCUUUCUCAUAUGUAACCUUUAAGUACACAAUUAUAUAUGCUCGGACUAUGACCCAAAAAACAAAAGGAAUUUACAUGCUCGGUCAGGUACACAAUUUUAUAUGCUCGGACUAUUGACUGAAAAAACAAAAGAAAUUUACAUGCUCUGUCAGUGAAUGACUCUGUUAUGGAGAGGCAUGCUCAGUCAAUGCAUGACUCUGUUACUUUGCAAUAAAUGCAUUCAUCCUUAUCUCAGCCUGCUUCAUGUGGAGAGGCAUGAAUCAAUACAUUUGGUUUUUUUGCUCUUUUAAAGGGGCUGAGGGAAGGGAGAAGAAAGUGGUCUCUAUCUGUGGCAUGGUUUUUCAAGCUCUCUCGAGUGCCGUUCCCAUAUGUAACCUUUAAGUACGCAAUUUUAUAUGCUUGGACUAUGACCCAAAAAACAAAAGAAAUUUACGUGCUCUGUCAGGUACACAAUUUUAUAUGCUCGGACUAUGACCCAAAAAACAAAAGAAAUUUACAUGCUUGGUCAGGUACACAAUUUUAUAUGCUCGGACUAUAACCCAAAAAACAAAAGAAAUUUACAUGCUCGGUCAGUGCAUGACUCUGUUACUUUGCAAUAAGUGCAUUCAUCCUUAUCUCAGCCUGCUUCAUGUGGAGAGGCAUGUUCUAUCAGUACAUUUGGUUUUUUUGCUCUUUUAGAAGGGCUGAGGGAAGGGAAAAGAAAAUGGUCUUUAUCUGUGGCAUGAGUUUUCAAGCUGUCUCAAGUGCCUUUCCUUUCCUCGUUUGUAACCCAACAUUGAGUUGGUUCAUAUUUUCAUUAUCUUCAUUUGCUCAUGUUAGUUUGCCUCUAAAUAUACAUUUAUUGUAUUUUUUCUGCAAGUCAAUAGUAAUACCUAAGCAUUACCUUCCAACUGUUAUUAUACUUUGUGGGAAGCUUGACAAUUUAGAUCGGAUAUUAUCCAAGUUAAAAGCAACAGAUCAUCAUAGGGUGCGAUAAUUUUUUCUUUUCAAGUGCUUUUACUUUACCCGGUUCUAGGAGAACGUUGAUCCCAAAAGAGUCUUCGGUCCAGUUUGAGCUUGCUCUUGAGCUGGAUUCCAAGGACUCGAACUUUAAACGGAAACCAUCAUAAAUAUAUUGUCACUCACCAGUUUCUUUUCUUUUCACAGUGACCCAGCUAUAUCCAUUAUGGAGUAUUGGUACCUUUGGUUUUACAUGUGGGAGUGCAUGUGGUCCCUCAUUGAACAGUUUAAGAGACCAAAUUCACCAAUAUCUAUAUUUAUUCUGAGGGGAUUGAUUCUGAAAGUUUUUAAUGUUCCUGGUAUCCUUGUUUGGUUUUCACUUGUUGAGGUAGUUGUUGGCCAGUUAUGCAUCUUGUCCUCCUUAAAGCUUGAGGGAAGUGAAGAAAGGGUACAAAGUGUUAAUGAUGGAUGGCCAGACUUUUGGGAGCACACUAAGUGCCAUCAUCGAACAGUUUAACAGAACAAAUUCACUAAUAUUUAUAUUUCCUUUGAGGUGAUUGAUUGGCCAGUUAUGCAUCUUCCCCUCUUCAAAGCAUGAGGAAAGUGGGGAAAUGGUACAAAGUGUUAAUAGUGGAUGUCCAGACUUUUGGGAGCACACUUAAUGCCCUCAUUGAACAGUUCAACAGACCAAAUUCACCAAUAUUUAUAUUUCCUCUCAGUUUUGAACAGAAAAUGAAGAGCGACAAAAGUGAAUCUAAGAAAGACAUAAGGAGUUCUAAAGUGAGAACUUCACUUUUUAUUUUUCCAAGACAUUUCUCCUGGGGAUUUGAUUUUGAGGAUGAUCUAUGUUGAUUUAGUUUGUAACCUGAUGGAAAACCGAAAACGACAGGGCACCUGGAUGUGCCAUUUCUAGUGGUUGUGACAUCUUUAGUUUCACCCGGAUGGGAGUCAGAAAUAAACAUAUGGGACCUGGUCUAGAUAAAAUUGUCUAUGUUGGGCUUCAAGAGGAGAGGUGUAGGACAGUUGUUUCAUGACAAGAACACCAGGCAGCUACUUUAAUUUUCUUCCUUCCUUUUAUCAUGUAACAUUUAAGCUUUGUGAUUCCUCAUAAUCAUAUUGCAGGGGUGAAUUUUUCACCAGAAAUUCAAUGUCCUCCUGACAGUAUAUGAGUAUCCGAUGAGCAAGCAUGGAUGAAUUGUUCACCAGAAAUUCAAUGUCCUCCUGAUGGUAUAUGAGUAUCAGAUGAACAAGCAUGACAGACAAAAACUAAGUAAAAUUCACAGGCAUUAUAUCAUAACCUAUGAAGGAUGAUAUAAAGAAUGCUUCUUUCAAGUCAAAUGAACAACCUCGAGGAGUGCUGGACUACCUGUUGCCUAAUAUUUUUAACUCAUAGGAGACGGUCGAUUUUUUUUUUUUUUUUUUUUUUUUGGGGGGCCAGUGGUUUAGCAAACCAUUUGAGAGCAAUGAUCUUUCCUUUCUAGACAUUGAUCUUCUUUGGUUCUUUUUUUAUUUUUUUCUUUUUAUCAUCCUUUGUUAUUGUUGUUGUUGUUUUGCAAUUGCAUGGAAGAUAUCUAAUAAUCCUUGUAAUUGUUCUUGAUUCAUCAUAAUAAGGUUUUACUUUCUAAUGAGGAGAAUCCCUUGAUCAUAAAUUUGUCUUCGCUACUUUGAUCAUUUGUGCUUCAGAGGCUGAAAGUCAAGUUUAAAAGAUAUCUUACAUUUAUCACUUCUAAUUUCCACUUUUGAGGUGUUUUUAGUUCUUGACACAUUCAAGUUGAAAAUUAUGAGAAAAAUAUAGCCACAUUGAAGCGUGGCUAUAAAAUUUUUAGUUCUUCUGAUGUAACUGUAUAGUUCAGCAGAAAUUCUUUCAUGACACUUGGUAAUUAUACAUGACCAGUUAGAUAGAGUUAUGCGCAUCUUUGGUACACAUGCAUGUGCAUUCAUGUCCAUACUACACUGAAGACUUUUGUUGAUUUAAUGAUUAACAAAGAAAAUGCAUUUGCUACCCAUAAAAUUUAUGGCAAAGAACUUUGGUUUAAAUAUGCCCAUACACAAAAUGUCUCAAACAUGCUUAGGUGCUAAAAUUUAAAUUCUGUAUAGGUUAGCAGAGAAGUUGACUGCACAAUAAAGAGGUUGUUGUCACUUUUUGCAACUUUAAUGCUGGGAAGACUAGUGGUAGGCUGAAUUAUGAUGUGUACUUUUUGAUACAAGUAAAUAUCAAAAUUUUGUUCUUAAUUAAUCAUCUGUAGAUUUGAAUUAUAUAUCCGGUGAGGAUUUUUUUUUUUUCAUAAUAUUUAUUUAAGUUGCUUAUUGCAUCUGGCUUGUUCCUUAAGGUGCUUUAGCUCUUUUUGUUUGUAUUUGAGCAUUCCCGUCCUUUCUUUUCUCUGUGUGUGUGUGUGUGUGUGUGUCUUUUUAUUUAUUUUUUUGAACUAUAAAGUAAGUUUCCUAUUAAAAAAAAGAAAAAAAAAAGAGAAAAGAUUGUCUGACAACAUUAACUUAGGUGUUUGACAUUAUAUUUUUAUUUGUAAUGCUAAGAAUGUUAUUGUUGAAGUUUUUAUUCAUAUCUUAUUCAGUCUAGAAAUCUUAAGUUUUAACCACUGAUAUUCUUGCAUCCUUAACUUCUUUUGUUAUGUUGAAAAUGAAUUUGCUGAAAAGAUUGAGAGACUUUUAAGAUGUGAGAGUCAGGGUUCUGCUUAUCAUAAACUUCUGAUAAAGAGGGUUGAAAAAAAAUCUGGGUAUUGGAAGUUCAAAGGUAAUAUAGCCUUUGACAUACUUCGAAGGAAUUCAUAAACUAUGCUUUCUUUUUUACUUUUCUCUUUUUUAACCUUUAAAUACUUAAUUUUACAUGCUCGCAUGACUCUGUUAUGGAGCUUUGCAAUACAUGUAAUCGUCUCAGCCAGCUUCAUGCGGAGAGAUAUGCUCUGCUUCUAUUUCAUUUGAUCUCUUUUUGCUUUUCUAAAAUUCUGUGAGGGAAGGGUGAAGAAAAUCAUCUUUCUUGGUGGCUUGAUUUUUCAAGCUUUCUCGGUGCCUUUCAUUUCUUCAGUUGUAACCAACAUUGAGUUAGUUCAUAUUUUCACUAUCUUUUCUUGCUCAUGUUAGUUUGCCUAACUACAUGUUUAUUGUAUUUCAUCAGCAAGUCAAUAGUAAUAUACAUAGGCAUUACCUCCCAACUGAUAUGAGACUUUGUAGGAAGCUUGAGAUUUUAGAUUGGAUAUUACCCAAGUUAAAAGCAACAGAUCAUAGGUUGUCCAAUAGUUUUGUCUGUUCAAAUGCUUUUAUACGUUUGUUUUGAAAUAUUCUAGUUUGGAUAUAUUGUCACAAGCUGAAAAUUGUCACUCUCCAGAUUCUUUUCUUUUCCACAAUGACCAACCACUUGAUCUUAUGGUUGGAUGGCCUGACAUUUGGGAAUGCAUAUGUUUCCCUCAUUAACAGUAACUACAACAGUCCAAAUUCACCGACAUUAAAAUUUCUUCUCAGGCAUCUUCCCCUCUUUAGAGCUUGUAGGAAGUUGUGCAAGAUAUCUCCAGUGACCGAAGUGUCAGAGGGAGUGCUGUUAUUUGGUCAUAUAGCAUGUCUCAGAGGGCAUUUGGUGGAUUCGCAAGCUAAGUCAAGAGAUCAUAGAAUUGGCCUGAAAAGGGAUAUGCUUGUUCUUUUUGAUUUGAAAGUAGGCAUCUUUAUCAGUUACCAUGCUCUUUGAUCAUAGAAUUGGCCAGAAAACGGAUAAUUUGAAACAGUAGGCAUCUUUCCGCUUGAAGGCUUUACUCUCUGAGGAGGAGAAUCUGUUGAUCAUAAAUCUUCACCAAGUGUGUGCUUCAGAGGCAUAUCUUUCCUUUAUAUGAGUUUUAAUGUCCACUUGGGAAGUAUUUUUUAGUAGAUGUUAAUACAUUGAAGUAAUUGAAGUAUUUAUUGUUCUGCUAACUAAUUUUUUUUUUUUAAUGCCUUGCAGAAUUCUGUCUAUGUACCACCAAAUUAUAUGGCAUGACAACCAGAUAUUAACAAUGAAAUGAGAGGGACAAAGACCAAAAGAAAAAUGUUGACACAAUAUUUAAGUUAACAUGAUUUAAUGACAAAAAAAAAAAACACACACACACACACACACAAAUAAAAAAUUAAGUAAAAAUAAAGACGCCAACUUUAAAAAGAUAGAGUAAAACAAAAAAAGCCAUGAAUAAGAACAAAAGAUUUUAGUUAAAAGAAAAAAUCAUAAAAAUACAACAAAAAGAAAUAAGUUAAAAAGAGAACGGAAUUAAUAAUACCAGACAAAUGAUGAAUUAAAUAUAUAUAUAUAUAUAUAUAUAUGACGGAAAAAACAAGAGUUUUUAAAAAAAAAAAAAAAACACUAAAAAAACAAAAAUACAAAUUAAAAUGAGCACAUAGUUGUUGAUUCCACUGGUGGUUACUUGUUUGUAAAGAAAUAGAUGUAGGAAUGGAAGUGCAGCAAGUUUUUCACUCUCCGACACAAUUUUUUUGAAGUUUGAAGUGGUAAGUAGUGCUUCUUUAUAGCCGAUGCUUAUCAUUGAAAUUUUCUCAUACUCUAUUUUUUAUAAUUUAAGAUCUGCAUAAAUGUAAAUUGUGAUAAAAAUGCAUACUCCUAUCAAUGCCUUAAUCCAGAAUGCAUGCUUGUUUAAUAUCUGUCCUCGUCCUUGAGCAAUACUUUGCUGCAGGUUUGCAACUUUCUAUUGAUUUUCUUCUUUCAAGUGUUUCCUUAGGAAAUUUUUUUAUUACAUCCAUCGGACAUUGAUUACAGAUUUAGUUUGGAGUACAGUGGAACUAUUUUAAUAUCCAAGAGAUGUGGAAAUGAUUCUGAGCCUCUACCCUCUGUCCUCAUUAUUUGAGGAAUUUAUUUUAUUAUUUGCUGUGGGCAUGAACCCCGGGAAAGUCAAGUUUGGAGUACAGUGGAACCACAUAAAAAAAUCAGGGAUUUAAAGGGAAGCAAUAACAAUUUUAAUUAGUGCCUUGAAGCUUGAUUCAUAUA